rnacentral:tRNA from 1 species
ACCAGGGUAGCUCAGCAGGCAGAGCACGAGCCCCAUAAGCUCACGGUCGCGGGUUCGACCCCCGCCCCUGGUA